AUGUUGUAGCGGUCAUGUAGCAAUGGUGGUGUGAUGGGUAUUCUUUGGAUAAUUAAACUUUGGGAAGAAAAAGAACCUAUCUUCAUAAGAAGUUGUCUUGGUUUUUGAAAUGACUGAAGCUACUCCUAUUCCCUUGUGCAAAGAAAGUGGUUAAUUCUCUCCCAGGAUAAUGAGGUGAAUCAGUCAACCACGGAGGCAGCUGAGGGCCAGAGCCAUUGCGAGGGGAGCGGUGGGUGA